rnacentral:rRNA from 1 species
AUUGAACGCUGGCGGCAGGCCUAACACAUGCAAGUCGAGCGGAGCGGCGGACGGGUGAGUAAUACCUAGGAAUCUGCCUGGGCGUGGGGGAUAACGAUCGGAAACGGACGCUAAUACUGCUAACUAUCAGAAUAACCUAGGUCGGAUUAGCUAGUUGGUGAGGUAGUGGCUCACCAAGGCCACGAUCCGUAACUGGUCUGAGAGGAUGAUCAGUCAAACUGGAACUGAGACACGGUCCAGACUCCUACGGGAGGCAGCAGUGGGGAAUAUUGGACAAUGGGCGAAAGCCUGAUCCAGCCAUGCCGCGUGUGUGAAGAAGGUCUUCGGGUUGUAAAGCACUUUAAGUUAGGAGGCGUUACCGGCAGAAUAAGCACCGGCUAACUCUGUGCCAGCAGCCGCGGUAAUUC